rnacentral:snRNA from 1 species
GAACUGCUUCGGCAGUACACAUACUAAAAUUGGAACGAUACAUAGAAAAUUAGCAUGGCCCCUGCGCAAGGAUGACCCGCAAAUUCGUGAAGUGUUCCACAUUUUU